GAAAGAAGCUCAACAGCAAGUAAUUGGCUAUGGUUACUCAAUCAAAUCUGUGGCUAUCACUGGAAAUUCAAUUUUUGCUAAUCUUCAACUCAUCAGCACUUCUUCUGUUUUUGGUACUGAUAUUCACAAUCUUAUCCUCAUUGCCAGUUUGGAAACAAACGAUCGUCUCCGAAUACGAAUAACGGACGUUAACCACCAACGAUGGGAAGUGCCGGAAGAAAUUCUCCGCCGUCCACCACCGCCAUCGCCGCCGUCAACUUCCAACUCCUCAUCAGAAAACCACUUCCCAAUUACGCUCUCUAACCCAAACUCAGACCUAGAGUUCACCCUUCACAACACCACCCCAUUCAGCUUCACCGUCCGCCGGCGAUUCACCGGGGAUACUCUUUUCGAUACUUCGCCGGAGAACGAAAACCCCGAUACAUUCCUCAUAUUCA
rnacentral:misc_RNA from 1 species